rnacentral:misc_RNA from 1 species
CGUUGUUCGAAUUGGGAAACCUGAGACUGUUCUUGUUGAAUUGGCUAAGGAAAUUGGGGCUGAUGCAGUUUAUGCUCACUACGAGGUUUCGCACGAUGAAAUGGAGACGGAGGAGAGGAUUGAGAGUGCGAUGAAGGAGGAGAAUGUUGAGGUGAAGUACUUUUGGGGAAGCACUUUGUAUCAUAUCGAUGAUUUGCCGUUUAAAAUGGAGGAUAUGCCAUCGAGUCAUGGUGCCUUUAGAGAGAAAGUUCAAGGGUUAAGUGUGAGGAAGACGAUUGAAGCUUUGGAUAAGAUGAAGGGGUUGCCUUCUCGUGGUGAUGUGGAGCCCGGG